GUUCCUUCGGGGAUAUCCAACAAAAUUGGAACGAUGCAGAGAAGAUUAACAUGGCUUCUGGACAAAAUGACACACAAGUUGAAAAAUGGUCCAAAAUUUUU